rnacentral:pre_miRNA from 1 species
UAACCUCCGCAGGCUGGACUGGGCUAGGGGAGUAUCUCUUCGAAAGGCUCACCCUCAAGCAUGACUAAGAGC